ensembl:lncRNA
GACGGAUACAGUCUGAACAUGAAAUGGACUUGUAAUUUCUUGUAGUUUCUCUUAUGUAUGAUUCAUUAUUUCUAACAUUUAUUAUGCUCUACCUGGGGAACAGAUAAAAUGGCAAAUAUUGUGCACCUGCCUCUCAUUUGGAUUCUCUGUGUUUGUACAAGCUGCUUCAGUGAAUAUUUUUGCCCAAAGGGGGCAAAAAUUGACCGUGAUGGUUUACGCUGCUACUGGAUGCCCACAUUUAAGUCAACAUGGAUAGAAGCAAAAAGGAUCUGUCAGAGAGACGAGAGAGGAGACCUUGCUAUGGUGGACAGUGUGAUUGUACAGACCUUCAUUCAAAAUUCAUUCCAACUGUAAGAGAUCACAAGAUUUUCUAGGGUUUUGUGGAGAAGCUCCAGUUGGGGUUUGGUUGAGAAAUGGAAUGGUACAGGGUCCAUUCUAUGAUUUAGAUACUAAAGACAGUGAGAUGAAGGAAUGUACUUCAAUGGCUUUGGCCUCUGGACAGUGGAAGAAUGAACAAUGUAAUAAAGAAAAUUUCAUUAUCUGUGAGAAAAAGAUAUC